UCAUCACAUGUGCAUUUGCAACACAUUGGCGGAGGCAAUACGAACUGCAUUUCUCGCUAGCUGGACAAAUCGGAAUGGCAAUGCAUCUUGGAGAACAAGACUCGAAUUGUGAAAGUCUGGUGGUUUUCGCCAAGUUUCACAGAACUUUGUUUUAUGUCAAGAUGGGCUAACACCAUGUCACCUGAUGCUGUCACUCUCUGUUCUAUCUGCAUCCCCUCUCGCCUCACACGUAAGCCUCACUGCAGUUUCUGCAGUGCUUCUGAGGGGAGUCACGGAUAAUUGCAGCUGUCAAGUGGCUAAUGUGACAACGGCCAGGGAGCUCCAGAGGGCAUUGUGCACACUCGAUGCGGUGGGGUCAAAACAAGUUUCUCCCAUGUCCUUUCCUCUUUUACUUGUGCCUGUCAUGUAUAUACACACACUG